rnacentral:lncRNA from 1 species
CACUCUGAGAGAAGAAAUAGAGUCACAAUGACCAGUACAAAGGUGAGCCUCCACUCCCUUUCCUGAAACAGGCAACUCCUUUUAUUUUUUUAUUUUUAUUUUUUUUAAUAGGCAACUCCUUUUAAAGUCUUCCAAAGACACAUGACACAUCUUAGGCAUGUGUCAUCUUAGGUUCAAUGUUCAAUGGUCUUCAGAUCCAGGCACUGAAAUGCUUCUGUCUACUUUCAUGGAUUAAAGGGCCAGUGAUAUCAAAGUGACUCCCUCUAUAGGGCAACCCAUUUCUAUAGGAAUUCUUGUCUUUCAUCCAAGGAGAAUUUGUGCAGAAACAGUCUAGGGGCUGUAUACUGUGCAGUUCCCUGUUUGGCUCCUUCCCUCCAAAAUAUGUCCAUUAUCUGUGCAUGAAAUUUGUGAAUCUUGACCCUCUCUUCCCUCCUGUUCAUAGUAAGACACUUGAUCCCUUUUGUAAAUGAAAAGCUGGCAGGAUUGUUUUGUUCGGUUGGUUGUUGUUUUUGUUUUGCUUUAAUACUUGAGACCUGGAGCGAGCAAUGCUUAGUUUUCAAGCUGUAUCUCCUGGUACAUGCAUAAGGUGUUCAUACUCACGCCGAAAUGGUUAAUUAAAACAUCACUUUAAGGACUUAGUUAAAAGGCUUUCUAUGAACCCCCUCCCCCCAGCAACAAGAACAUCUUCAUUCCUCAGUCCAUUCUUAAAGAACAGUCAUUCUUCACAAGAGAUAGACUGGAUAUUUUUUUCACUUUUCCUUAUAGAAUGGGAGAAGAAGGCUAAGUUGUGGUUUCUUGAGUCAAUAGUCUAGAAAUAAUGAUUUUUUUAACUUGUCUCUCAUCUUCCUUAUAUGCAUAUGAAGGACAAAUUUCCCAGAUUUUAAUCCUAUUUUCUAUCUUCUAAGAAUUUGGUCUUCUCUGGAAUCUUAUCAUACUUCCUUCUUCUUCUUGAAAACAAAUAAUUCAUCAAUUUUGUCUUCAGUUGCUAUAGCUUCCCAUAGUUUUUAUUUCCUGAUAAAUUUACCACCUUAUAUUGUACAUGCUGACUUAAGCCAUUAAGGCAAAUGGGCCUACAAUGCACAAUGAGUUGGAGUUUAGUACAAGUAAGUCAGGGUACCUUGUCUUCACUGGGGAUAACGGCCUACGGAUUCUUCCUCCUUUCUUUUACCUUUUGUGCGUUCUUUUAUCUAAGUCUUUAAUUUUCAUACAUGAUCAAUUCCACUUCUGCAUUUGUAAUUUUCCCUCUGCUACUUUUUCCUCCCUCCUUCUCCUCCUCCUCCUCCUCCUCCUCCUCCUCUUCUUCUUCUUCUUCUCCUUCUUCUUCUUCCUCCUCUUCUUCCUCUUCUUCUUCCUGACUCCUACAACUUCUCCUCCUCCUUCUUCCUCUUCUUCUUGACUUGAUCUUGAACUUGCCCCUACUUCUGAUUUUUUUUUUUUUAACUAUCCCUACUGGUUCUUUCAACUUCUGAUUUUUUUCAGCCUGUCAGAAUAUCAGCUCCCUAUAUUUAAAUCCUCACCUUGAGCAGUGUCCUAGCUGGUAAUACUAGACAUUAUUUUUUCUUUUCUUUUAUUUUUUUUAAGAUUUUAUUUAUUUAUUUGACACAGAGAGAAAGAGAGCACAAGCAGGGAAAGGCAAAGGGAGAGAGAAAGAAGCAGAUUUGCCAAUGAGCAGGGAUCCCAAUGCAGGGCUUGAUCCCAGGGCCCCAGGAUCAUGACCCAAGUUGAAGGAAGAAGCUUAACUGACUGAACCACCCAGGCACCUCUUUGCCGGACAUAAUUGAAUUCUUGUUUUGUUACUUUGCUUUAAUAGUUUUAUUUCAUCUCUUUUUUAAUUAUAUACUGACUUUAUUUUUUAAGAACUAGACAGCAAGUAAAUAAUAAAUCAUUUACUUUAUACAUCAAAUGCUUGAGCCAAAAACACCCAUCUAAACUCUAAUAUAAGUAUCUCAAACUCUACUAAUCAACAUGUAAACAUAGAGAGAUCACUAACAUAGAGAAUGACAAGGUUGAAGAAUGGAAUGGUCUUGAUAUCUCCCUCUUCUCCCUGCUGACUUCAAAGGACUGUUAUCUUUUGAAUAGAACAACUUAAAGUCUUUCUUUUCAGGCCAGAAAAAAAAAAAAAAAAAA